rnacentral:rRNA from 1 species
UACGGAGGGGGCAAGCGUUGUUCGGAAUUACUGGGCGUAAAGGGCGCGCAGGCGGCUGCUCAAGUCAGGCGUGAAAGGCCUGGGCUCAACCCGGGAAUUGCGCUUGAGACUGGGCUGGCUUGAGUGCGGGAGAGGAUGGUGGAAUUCCCAGUGUAGAGGUGAAAUUCGUAGAUAUGGGGAGGAACACCGGUGGCGAAGGCGGCCACCUGGACGGUAACUGACGCUGAGACGCGAAAGCGUGGGGAGCAAACAGG